rnacentral:rRNA from 1 species
CCUACGGGAGGCAGCAGUAGGGAAUCUUCCGCAAUGGGCGAAAGCCUGACGGAGCAACGCCGCGUGAGUGAGGAAGGUCUUCGGAUCGUAAAGCUCUGUUGCCAAGGAAGAACGGCCCGGAGAGUCACUGCUCCGGGAGUGACGGUACUUGAGAAGAAAGCCCCGGCUAACUACGUGCCAGCAGCCGCGGUAAUACGUAGGGGGCAAGCGUUGUCCGGAAUUAUUGGGCGUAAAGCGCGCGCAGGCGGUCUGUUAAGUCUUGUGUUUAAGCCCGGGGCUCAACCCCGGUUCGCAUGGGAAACUGGCAGUACUUGAGUGCAGGAGAGGAAAGCGGAAUUCCACGUGUAGCGGUGAAAUGCGUAGAGAUGUGGAGGAACACCAGUGGCGAAGGCGGCUUUCUGGACUGUAACUGACGCUGAGGCGCGAAAGCGUGGGGAGCAAACAGGAUUAGAUACCCUGGUAGUCCACGCCGUAAACGAUGAGUGCUAGGUGUCGGGGGUUUCGAUACCCGCGGUGCCGAAGUUAACGCAAUAAGCACUCCGCCUGGGAAWUUCCAMU